GAUGAACGCUGGCGGCGUGCUUAACACAUGCAAGUCGAACGGAAAGGCCCAAGCUUGCUUGGGUACUCGAGUGGCGAACGGGUGAGUAACACGUGGGUGAUCUGCCCUGCACUUCGGGAUAAGCCUGGGAAACUGGGUCUAAUACCGGAUAGGACCACAUUUUGGAUGGUGUGGUGGAAAGUUUUUCGGUGUGGGAUGAGCUCGCGGCCUAUCAGCUUGUUGGUGGGGUAAUGGCCUACCAAGGCGUCGACGGGUAGUCGGCCCGAGAGGGUGUAAGGCCACGUUGGGACUGAAAUGCGGCCCAGACUCAUACGGGAGGCAGAAGUGGGGAAUAUUGCAGAAGGGGCGCAAGCCUGAUGCAGCGACGCCGCGGGGGGGAUGACGGGCUUCGGGUUGUAAACUCCUUUCGCUAGGGACGAAGCGUUAUGUGACGGUACCUGGAGAAGAAGCACCGGCUAACUACGUG
rnacentral:rRNA from 1 species